GAGGGCGGGUAGACGGUCGCGGCGCUUGCGCCGAGGAAAGUCCGGGCACCGCAGGGCAGGGUGGUGGCUAACGGCCACCGUUCGCAAGGAUAGGGAAAGUGCCACAGAGAACAGACCGCCGUCCGGCUUCGGCCGGGCGGUAAGGGUGAAACGGUGGGGUAAGAGCCCACCGCGGGCGAUGGUGACAUCCCCGGCACGGCAAACCCCACCCGGUGAAAGGCCAGAUAGGGAGGAAGGGGCGGCCCGUCCCGUCAGCACCUCCGGGCUGGCCGUUCGAGGCGGCAGGCAACUGCCGUCCCAGACAAAUGACCGUCCACGACAAGACCCGGCUUAACGCCCGCGCCUCGGGA
rnacentral:RNase_P_RNA from 1 species